UUGUUGAUUUGCUUUUUGUGUUAUUUCUGGGAAUUCUGAUUAGUGUGUUAUUUUUUAGGGUUUGAUCUUGGAAUUUGAAGAUGCUGGCCAAUUUUGUUCAUAGAAUGAAUGGACCAACACCUUUGUGAGUGUAGUACUCUUGCUGCCUGCCAGGACUCCACCAUGCUUAAGCAAAUUCUGAGCAAAUUCACCUCGCAAGCCAAAAUCUGUCACUAGAUUCCACUGGAAGUGAUUCUGGCAACAAUAGUCCUAAUUUGGGCAGUGGUUUCCAAUGAACAAUUGGUGGGAGUUCUCUUGCAAGCAAAUUAAAUGUUGUCAAACGGGUGUCUUCAGUUGUUUGCCCAGCAAGCAUUUCAGCUGGAGCAGAGGUAGUGGAGCCUCAUCUGUCUUUCAAAGAGGUUUCAAAUCCACAGAAGCAGAAUCUGUUUAUCAGUAAGUUGAACGUUUGCUGCGAGAUCAUUGAUUCUAUCGAUCCAGCUAAACGGCAAGAUCUUAAGCGUGAAACAUUGAUUGAGCUGCAGGUCGCACCAUAUAAGGGAAGGAAGGGUGAGUCAAAUUGGGGUCUUAACACAUCUAGAGAAUUACAAGUACUCAAUCGUAUCUGGAAUCUUGAAGAACAGCAUGCAUCUAAUAUAUCAUUGGUAAAAG